GUCCAUGUCCUCUGUCCAGAAGUCAUGUCCCCAUUUUUGGCAUCUCUGGUCGGGCAGGCCUGGUGUCUCUACAGAUUCCAGAACAUAGCUGCAGCUUCUCCAUGUGGAAGAUGAUGCCUGCUCUGGUGGGAAUAUCCUCAUUUUACAAGGGAAACUAAACUCAGGACGUCUCACUUUUGGAGCUCCAUCUUAAAAGCUGGAGGGCUUUCCGGAAUACCUGUCAUUUUAGAA